rnacentral:tRNA from 1 species
GGGGUUGUAUUUUAAUUUUAAAAUACGUGUUUUGCAUACACGAGAUUUGGAGCUCUAUUUUU